rnacentral:rRNA from 1 species
GCUUGCUACUUUGCUGACGAGCGGCGGACGGGUGAGUAAUGCUUGGGAACAUGCCUUGAGGUGGGGGACAACAGUUGGAAACGACUGCUAAUACCGCAUAAUGUCUACGGACCAAAGGGGGCUUCGGCUCUCGCCUUUAGAUUGGCCCAAGUGGGAUUAGCUAGUUGGUGAGGUAAUGGCUCACCAAGGCGACGAUCCCUAGCUGGUUUGAGAGGAUGAUCAGCCACACUGGGACUGAGACACGGCCCAGACUCCUACGGGAGGCAGCAGUGGGGAAUAUUGCACAAUGGGCGCAAGCCUGAUGCAGCCAUGCCGCGUGUGUGAAGAAGGCCUUCGGGUUGUAAAGCACUUUCAGUCAGGAGGAAAGGUUAGUAGUUAAUACCUGCUAGCUGUGACGUUACUGACAGAAGAAGCACCGGCUAACUCCGUGCCAGCAGCCGCGGUAAUACGGAGGGUGCGAGCGUUAAUCGGAAUUACUGGGCGUAAAGCGUACGCAGGCGGUUUGUUAAGCGAGAUGUGAAAGCCCCGGGCUCAACCUGGGAACUGCAUUUCGAACUGGCAAACUAGAGUGUGAUAGAGGGUGGUAGAAUUUCAGGUGUAGCGGUGAAAUGCGUAGAGAUCUGAAGGAAUACCGAUGGCGAAGGCAGCCACCUGGGUCAACACUGACGCUCAUGUACGAAAGCGUGGGGAGCAAACGGGAUUAGAUACCCCGGUAGUCCACGCCGUAAACGAUGUCUACUAGAAGCUCGGAGCCUCGGUUCUGUUUUUCAAAGCUAACGCAUUAAGUAGACCGCCUGGGGAGUACGGCCGCAAGGUUAAAACUCAAAUGAAUUGACGGGGGCCCGCACAAGCGGUGGAGCAUGUGGUUUAAUUCGAUGCAACGCGAAGAACCUUACCUACACUUGACAUACAGAGAACUUACUAGAGAUAGUUUGGUGCCUUCGGGAACUCUGAUACAGGUGCUGC